rnacentral:rRNA from 1 species
CAGAGGUGGCAAGCGUUGUUCGGAAUUACUGGGCGUAAAGGGCGCGUAGGCGGCCAUCUAAGUCAGACGUGAAAUCCCCCGGCUUAACCUGGGAACUGCGUCUGAUACGUGGACGGCUCGAGUUUGGGAGAGGGAUGUGGAAUUCCAGGUGUAGCGGUGAAAUGCGUAGAUAUCUGGAGGAACACCGGUGGCGAAGGCGGCAUCCUGGACCAACACUGACGCUGAGGCGCGAAAGCUAGGGGAGCAAACGGGAUUAGAUACCCCGGUAGUCCUAGCCCUAAACGAUGAAUGCUUGGUGUGGCGGGUAUCGAUCCCUGCCGUGCCGAAGCUAACGCAUUAAGCAUUCCGCCUGGGGAGUACGGUCGCAAGGCUA